AUUGAACGCUGGCGGCAGGCCUAACACAUGCAAGUCGAACGGUAACAGGAAGAAGCUUGCUUCUUUGCUGACGAGUGGCGGACGGGUGAGUAAUGUCUGGGAAACUGCCUGAUGGAGGGGGAUAACUACUGGAAACGGUAGCUAAUACCGCAUAAUGUCGCAAGACCAAAGAGGGGGACCUUCGGGCCUCUUGCCAUCGGAUGUUCCCAGAUGGGAUUAGCUAGUAGGUGGGGUAACGGCUCACCUAGGCGACGAUCCCUAGCUGGUCUGAGAGGAUGACCAGCCACACUGGAACUGAGACACGGUCCAGACUCCUACGGGAGGCAGCAGUGGGGAAUAUUGCACAAUGGGCGCAAGCCUGAUGCAGCUAUGCCGCGUGUAUGAAGAAGGCCUUCGGGUUGUAAAGUACUUUCAGCGGGGAGGAAGGGAGUAAAGUUAAUACCUUUGCUCAUUGACGUUACCCGCAGAAGAAGCACCGGCUAACUCCGUG
rnacentral:rRNA from 1 species